AAAGUGCUUCCUAGGAGUUGUCCUUGGAAGAUAAAGGGAACCACUGAGGCAAAACAAGAGUAAAUCAGGAGACACCUAUCAAAGCCCAUAUGGAGAAUGUCUCUUCCUACAGAUAAACACAAGUUAAUUG